rnacentral:tRNA from 1 species
GUCCUCGUAGCUCAGUUGGCUAGAGCGUUGGAUGCACUAAAGCACCCUGUUGUGGGCUCAAAUCCCACCGAGGUCG